GAUGAACGCUGGCGGCGUGCCUAAUACAUGCAAGUCGAGCGAACGGACGAGAAGCUUGCUUCUCUGAUGUUAGCGGCGGACGGGUGAGUAACACGUGGAUAACCUACCUAUAAGACUGGGAUAACUUCGGGAAACCGUAGCUAAUACCGGAUAAUAUUUUGAACCGCAUGGUUCAAUAGUGAAAGACGGUCUUGCUGUCACUUAUAGAUGGAUCCGCGCUGCAUUAGCUAGUUGGUAAGGUAACGGCUUACCAAGGCAACGAUGCGUAGCCGACCUGAGAGGGUGAUAGGCCACACUGGAACUGAGACACGGUCCAGACUCCUACGGGAGGCAGCAGUAGGGAAUCUUCCGCAAUGGGCGAAAGCCUGACGGAGCAACGCCGCGUGAGUGAUGAAGGUCUUCGGAUCGUAAAACUCUGUUAUUAGGGAAGAACAUAUGUGUAAGUAACUGUGCACAUCUUGACGGUACCUAAUCAGAAAGCCACGGCUAACUACGUG
rnacentral:rRNA from 1 species